UGGGGAAUAUUGCGCAAUGGAGGAAACUCUGACGCAGCGACGCCGCGUGGGUGAUGAAGGCCUUCGGGUUGUAAAGCCCUGUCGGUUGGGAAAAAGGUAGUCGUGCUAAUACCACGAUUGCUUGAUGGUACCAGCAAAGGAAGCACCGGCUAACUCUGUGCCAGCAGCCGCGGUAAUACAGAGGGUGCAAGCGUUGUUCGGAAUUACUGGGCGUAAAGGGCGCGUAGGCGGUUUAGUAAGUCAGAUGUGAAAGCCCGGGGCUUAACCCCGGAAGUGCGUUUGAAACUACUAGGCUAGAGUGCAGUAGAGGUUGGUGGUAUUCCCAGUGGAGAGGUGAAAUUCGUAGAUAUUGGGAGGAACACCGGUGGCGAAGGCGGCCAACUGGGCUGUAACUGACGCUGAGGCGCGAGAGCGUGGGUAGCAAACAG
rnacentral:rRNA from 1 species